GACGAACGCUGGCGGCGUGCUUAACACAUGCAAGUCGAACGGAAAGGCCCUGCUUUUGUGGGGUGCUCGAGUGGCGAACGGGUGAGUAACACGUGAGUAACCUGCCCUUGACUUUGGGAUAACUUCAGGAAACUGGGGCUAAUACCGGAUAGGAGCUCCUGCUGCAUGGUGGGGGUUGGAAAGUUUCGGCGGUUGGGGAUGGACUCGCGGCUUAUCAGCUUGUUGGUGGGGUAGUGGCUUACCAAGGCUUUGACGGGUAGCCGGCCUGAGAGGGUGACCGGGUGGUGUGCGGCGGGGAGACCGCCCAAACGCAGACGUGGGGAGGCGGGGGGGGAUGUGGGGAGCGGGGCGGACGCCAUAUGCAGACAGGCGCGGGGGGGGUGGGCGCCUUUCGGGUGGUCACCCGCCGUAGCUGGGGAGGGGGAGCGCGGGACGGUAAUGGGAAAAGAAGCGCCGCCUAACGACGUGCCCGCGGCCGCGAUAACAGCCGGAAGCGCACACGUCUGCCC
rnacentral:rRNA from 1 species